AGCUUCAUUUUAGAUGAGAAUGGACACUGUUGAUCAUAGUGUCCAAAAAAUUGUUAAUAUGGCUAAAUUGAGACACAGGUUAUGCUUCCAUCACAGUAUAUGUAUUGCAGGGGUGACAAUGAGACCUGUGAUCUUU